rnacentral:rRNA from 2 species
GAGUUUGAUCCUGGCUCAGGACGAACGCUGGCGGCGUGCCUAAUACAUGCAAGUAGAACGCUGAAGGAGGAGCUUGCUUCUCUGGAUGAGUUGCGAACGGGUGAGUAACGCGUAGGUAACCUGCCUGGUAGCGGGGGAUAACUAUUGGAAACGAUAGCUAAUACCGCAUAAGAGUGGAUGUUGCAUGACAUUUGCUUAAAAGGUGCACUUGCAUCACUACCAGAUGGACCUGCGUUGUAUUAGCUAGUUGGUGGGGUAAGGGCUCACCAAGGCGACGAUACAUAGCCGACCUGAGAGGGUGAUCGGCCACACUGGGACUGAGACACGGCCCAGACUCCUACGGGAGGCAGCAGUAGGGAAUCUUCGGCAAUGGACGGAAGUCUGACCGAGCAACGCCGCGUGAGUGAAGAAGGUUUUCGGAUCGUAAAGCUCUGUUGUAAGAGAAGAACGAGUGUGAGAGUGGAAAGUUCACACUGUGACGGUAUCUUACCAGAAAGGGACGGCUAACUACGUGCCAGCAGCCGCGGUAAUACGUAGGUCCCGAGCGUUGUCCGGAUUUAUUGGGCGUAAAGCGAGCGCAGGCGGUUAGAUAAGUCUGAAGUUAAAGGCUGUGGCUUAACCAUAGUAGGCUUUGGAAACUGUUUAACUUGAGUGCAAGAGGGGAGAGUGGAAUUCCAUGUGUAGCGGUGAAAUGCGUAGAUAUAUGGAGGAACACCGGUGGCGAAAGCGGCUCUCUGGCUUGUAACUGACGCUGAGGCUCGAAAGCGUGGGGAGCAAACAGGAUUAGAUACCCUGGUAGUCCACGCUGUAAACGAUGAGUGCUAGGUGUUAGACCCUUUCCGGGGUUUAGUGCCGUAGCUAACGCAUUAAGCACUCCGCCUGGGGAGUACGACCGCAAGGUUGAAACUCAAAGGAAUUGACGGGGGCCCGCACAAGCGGUGGAGCAUGUGGUUUAAUUCGAAGCAACGCGAAGAACCUUACCAGGUCUUGACAUCCCUCUGACCGCUCUAGAGAUAGAGUUUUCCUUCGGGACAGAGGUGACAGGUGGUGCAUGGUUGUCGUCAGCUCGUGUCGUGAGAUGUUGGGUUAAGUCCCCGCAACGAGCGCAACCCCUAUUGUUAGUUGCCAUCAUUUAGUUGGGCACUCUAGCGAGACUGCCGGUAAUAAACCGGAGGAAGGUGGGGAUGACGUCAAAUCAUCAUGCCCCUUAUGACCUGGGCUACACACGUGCUACAAUGGCUGGUACAACGAGUCGCAAGCCGGUGACGGCAAGCUAAUCUCUUAAAGCCAGUCUCAGUUCGGAUUGUAGGCUGCAACUCGCCUACAUGAAGUCGGAAUCGCUAGUAAUCGCGGAUCAGCACGCCGCGGUGAAUACGUUCCCGGGCCUUGUACACACCGCCCGUCACACCACGAGAGUUUGUAACACCCGAAGUCGGUGAGGUAACCGUAAGGAGCCAGCCGCCUAAGGUGGGAUAGAUGAUUGGGGUGAAGUCGUAACAAGGUAGCCGUAUCGGAAGGUGCGGCUGGAUCACC